GACUGCCUCAAUGGCAAUGCUACAGCCUCUGUUGCUUCCGUUUACAUGCACAUCACCAGCAUCCUGUAGGCAGGUACAAGAAAAAAACCUGUUGAGCUGUGCCUUUUCCUGCCGCUUUCACACCCUCUGUCCUGAUGUGGACUGUGCCUGCUGCCAGCCAGGCAGCAACUGAAAAGCAUCAGGGAAUCACAUUACGUUAGAUCCUUCCAGCUUCGAGUAAUUAACUCAGUGCAUUUUAUAGAACUGGGAUGAUUUUGAAGAAACUCCAAUGGAAUAUAUAGACAAUUCCCUGGCAAUCAGCAAAGCAGUAGCAGUUCAUGGAUCUCCCCUUCACAAACCUUGAAUUAGCUUUCAUCUUGCUGGCUUUUGUCAUUUUCACCUUGUUUACCCUGGCUUCUAUCUACAGUGACUCCCAUGACAACAAAGAAGAGGAAAACUAUGCACAGGAAGGAUACGAGAAAAGGAGCAAAUCCAAGAAGAAAAAGAAAUGUUCAAGUAUGACUGAAGUGGUAUAGAAUACUACCCAGGUCCACUGUUGGAAACACUUCUGAAAGAGGCAGCUCUGGAAGCUGGUCACCUGAAGACAGUGAGAAAACGGAUGUGAGAAAGGAAGGACCUGAUCAUCCAUCAGAUGGAAUCCAGACGUGACAAUUAGAGUUAAUGAACCACGACCCAUGAAGCUGCCUCAGCACCUUUUUACAACCCCACUUCAUGGCCUUAAUAAAAGUACCAGGGCUUAUUUUACA
rnacentral:lncRNA from 1 species